rnacentral:rRNA from 1 species
CCUACGGGAGUCAGCAGUGAGGAAUAUUGCUCAAUGGACGCAAGUCUGAUCCAGCCAUGCCGCGUGCAGGAAGAAGGCUCUAUGAGUUGUAAACUCCUUUUGUACGAAGGACAACGCAGAUACGCGUAUCCUUCUCAAAGUAUCGUACGAAUAAGGAUCGGCUAACUCCGUGCCAGCAGCCGCGGUAAUACGGAGGAUUCAAGCGUUGUCCGGAUUUAUUGGGUGUAAAGUGUGCGUAGGCGGUCGGAUAAGUUAGAGGUGAAAUCCCCAGGCUCAACUUCGGAACUGCCUCUGAUACUGUUCGGCGAGAGAGUAGUUGAGGUAGGCGGAAUGUAUGGUGUAGCGGUGAAAUGCGUAGAGAUCAUACAGAACACCGAUUGCGAAGGCGGCUUACCAAGCUACUUCUGACGUUGAGGCACGAAAGCGUGGGGAGCAAACAGGAUUAGAUACCCCAGUAGUC